UCUUAUUUUAGGCAUCCAAUUGUAGGUGAAAGUAGAAGCAUCCCUUGUUGUAAGUGUGUUACAGGUGGCACACGAGCCUUGACGUGACAACUGGAAACAGCAGCGGCUGGGCAGGUGAAGGGCCGAGUUUUUUGCAGGUGCCGCGGAGGGGCCGAGGCACACGCAGACCGACAGUCUGAGAAGGUGCUUUGGGAGCCGCCUUUGGGAUCGGAUGAGCGUUUGAAGCGAGCCGGGGUAGUCGCAAGGAGGAUCGUGGGUGACUCGUUAGAAGCGCAAGGGUAACUGUCUCUCGGCA